GUUAUCAUCAACCGUAUCAGUGCUGCCCUCCAGUUUCAUAAUAAAAAUCCGGAAAGAUUGUUCAACGAAAAACAAUUCUGGGAUAUGUGUGGUACACCAAAUUGAAGGCUCGGAUCUCCCCUUUAAUUAUCUAUACACACUUUUUUGAUCGAAGUCUAUUUAUGUCUUUCCAACUGGAUUUUGUCUCUUGCCCUCCAGCUUCAGAAUAGAAAUCUGGAAGGAUUGUUCUACGAAAAAUAGUUCUGGGAACGAAGUCCAUUUAUGGCUUCCAGACUGGAUUUUGUGUCCUGCCAUUUAGUUUCAAAAUCAACAUCUGGAAGGAUAGUUCUACGAAAAACAGUUCUGUUGUAUGUGUGGCAUAGCUGAUCGCCCCUUUAUUUUGGUAUACGCAUUUUUUUGAACGAAGUUCAUUUAUGGUCUCUUGACUGAAUUUUGUGUCCUGCCCUCCAGUUUGGUAACAGAAAACUUAAACGUUUGUUCUACGCAAAACAGUUCCGGGAUAUGUGUUGUAUACCAAAUUAAAGACUCGGAUAUCCCCUUUAAUUUCGUAUACACACCUUUUUGAUCGAAGUCCAUUUAUGGCUUCCAGACUGGAUUUAGUGUCCUCCCAUUCAGUUUCAAAAUCGAAAUCUCGAAGGAUUGUCCUACGAAAAACAGUCCUGGUGUAUGUGUGGCAUACCAAAUUGAAGAUGCUAAUCGUCCCUUUAUUUUGGUAUACGCAUUUUUUUUUAACAAAAUCCAUUUAUGGCUUCCAGACUGGAUUUAGUGUCCUGCACUCCAGUUUCAAAAUAAAAAUUUGAAAGGAUUGUUCUACGAAAAACAGUUCUGGGGUAUCUGUGGCACACCAAAUUAAAGGUGCUGAUCGUCCCUUUAAUAAGAUGUACGCGGUUUUUUGAAUGAAGUCCAUUUAUGGCUUCCACACUGGAUUUAGUGUCCUGCCCUCGGGUUUCAAAAUAGAAAACUGGAAUGAUUGUUCUAUGAAACACAAUUCUGGGGUAUGUGUGGUAUACCGAAUUGAAGGUGCUGAUCUCUUCUUUAAUUUGGUAUACGCGCUUUUUCGAACGAAGUCCAUGUAUGGUUUCCUAACUGGAUUUAGUGUCCGUCCCUCGAGUUACCAAAUAGAAAACUGGAAAGAUUGUUCUACGAAAAACAGGUCUGGGGUAUGUGUGAUACACCAUAUUAAAGGUGUUGAUCUACCCUUUAAUGUGAUGUACGUGGUUUUUUGAAUGAAGUCCAUUAAUGGCUUCUACGCUAGAUUUAGUGUCUACCAAAUUGAAGGUGUUGAUCUUCCCUUCAAUUUGUAUACACACUUUUUUGAACGAAGUCCAUUUAUGGCUCCUAAACUGGAUUUAGUGUCCUGCACUCCAGUUUCAAAAUAGAAAUCUACAAAAAAACAGUUCUAGUGUAUGCGUGGCACACCAAAUUAAAGGUGCUGAUCGUUCUUUAUUUUGGUAUACGCACUUUGAACGAAGUCCAUUUUUGACUUCCAGACUAGAUUUUGUGCCCUGCCCUCCACUUUCAAAAUAGAAAUCUGGAAGGAUUGUUCUAUGAUAAACAACUCAGGGGUAUGUUUGGUACACCAAAUUGAAGGUGCUGAUCUCUUCUUUAAUUUGGUAUACUCACUUUUUUGAACGAAGUCCAUUCAUGGCUUCCACACUGGAUUUAGUGUCCUGCCCUCCGCUGUCGAAAUAGAAAUCUGGAAAGAUUGUUCUACGAAAAACAAUUCCGGGGUAUAUGUGGUACAUCAUAUUAAAGGUGUUGAUCUUCCCUUCAAUUUGAAUACGCGCUUUUUUGAACGAAGUCUAUUUAUGGCUCCUAGACUGGAUUUAUUGUCCUGCACUCGAGUUUCAAAAUAAAAAAACUGGAAGGAUUGUUCUACGAAAAACAGUUCUGGGUGUGUGUGAUGCACCAUAUUAAAGACGUUGAUCUCUCCUUUAAUGUGAUGUACGCGCUUUUUUGAAUGAAGUCCAUUUAUGGCUUUUACACUGGAUUUAGUGUCUACGAAAAAUAAUUCUGGGGUAUGUGUGGUACACCAAAUUGAAGAUGUUGAUCUUCCCUUCAAAUUGUAUACUCGAUUUUUGAACGAAGUCCAUUUAUAGCUCCUAGACUGGAUUUGAUGUCCUGCCCUCCACUUUCUAAAUACAAAUCUGGAAGGAUUGUUCUACGAAAAACAGUUCUGGGGUAUAUGUGGUACAUCAUAUUAAAGCUCCUACACUGGAUUUAAUGUCCUGCCCUCCACUUUCUAAAUACAAAUCUGGAAGGAUUGUUCUACGAAAAACAGUUCUGGGGUAUCUGUGGCACACCAAAUUAAAGGUGCUGGUCGUCCCUUUAUUUUGGUAUACGCACAUCUUUGAACGAAGUCCAUUAAUGGCUUCCACACUGGAUUUUGUGCCCUGCCCUCGAGUUUCAAAAUAGAAAUCUGGAAGGAUUGUUCUGCAAAAACAGUUGCAGUUGGUGUAUGUGUGGCACACCAAAUUUUGGUGUACUCACUUUUUCCAGUCCAUUUCCAUUUAUUGCUUCCAGACUGGAUUUUGUAUCCUGCCCUCCGCUUUCAAAAUAGAAAUCUGGAAGGAUUUUUCUAUGAAAAACAGUUCUGGGGUAUGUGUGGUGCACCAUAGGUGUUGAUCCUCCAAUUGAUUUGGUAUACGCGCUUUUUUUAACGAAGUCCAUUUAUGGCUUCUACACUGGAUUUAGUGCCCUGCACUCGAGUUUCAAAAUAGAAAUCUGAAAGGAUUGUUCUACGAAAAACGGUUCUUUGUAUACGUGUGAGUGGUACACCAUAUUAAAGGUUUUGAUCUCUCCUCUAAUGUGGUAUACGCACGUUUUUGAAGGAAGUCCAUUUACGGCUUAUACACUGGAUUUAGUGUAUACGAAAAUCAUUUCUGGGGUAUAUGUGGUACACCAAAUUAAAGGUGUUGAUCUUCCCCUAAUUUUGGUGUAUGCAUUUUUUUUGAACGAAGUCCAUUUGUGAUCACCAGACUGAAUUUUGUGUCUUGCCCUCCAAUUUCUAAAUCUGUAAGUUUUAAAUUAAAGGUAUUGUUCUCCUCUUUAAUUUGGUGUAUGCGAAAGUAAAUAACUCACAGCGAAAUUGUCUGGCGACCGAAACUAAAAACGCUUUAUAAUUUCCGAACUUUUUUAAUUUUUAUUACUUUGUGUCACCCUGUUAUUAUAUCGAUUAUAUCUAUGUACGUCGCUAACUUCACGCAGGUUUAUAAUUAAGAACUAUAACACACACAAACAACAAA
rnacentral:sRNA from 1 species